rnacentral:rRNA from 1 species
UGUCAGCAGCCGCGGUAAUACAGAGGGUGCAAGCGUUAAUCGGAAUUACUGGGCGUAAAGCGUGCGUAGACGGUUAUCUAAGUCGGAUGUGAAAUCCCCGGGCUCAACCUGGGAAUUGCAUUCGAGACUGAAUAGCUAGGGUGCGGAAGAGGGAAGCGGAAUUUCCGGUGUAGCGGUGAAAUGCGUAGAUAUCGGAAGGAACAUCAGUGGCGAAAGCGGCUUCCUGGUCCAGCACCGACGUUCAGGCACGAAAGCGUGGGGAGCAAACAGGAUUAGAUACCCUGGUAGUCCACGCCAUAAACGAUGAGGACUAGACGUUGGAGGGGUUAGCCUUUCAGUGUCGCAGCUAACGCGAUAAGUCCUCCGCCUGGGGAGUACGGCCGCAAGGUUGAAACUCAAAGAAAUUGACGG